GUAGCUUCCAAUUUCAAUGCUAAUAUUAUAUUAGAAAUAUCAAAUUUUUCAGGGGUGGUAACGACUAGGGAGAUCGAUGUCAAAGACAAUAUGAGUGAAAAAACUAGUCAUUAGUAUAAAUUUCAUUGAGUCUAAAACUGUUUAAGUCAAGGUCGUUAAGGCUGUUCGGUGCAAGCAAUAAACGACUCGAAAACACAUAAUAAUGGUAAUUUAAAUGGCACUCAAAAAUCCGUCGAAAAAGGUUCAUUAAUAAGUCUUACAGCAUAAGAAGGACCACACAACUGACAUUCUUUCAAAAUGUUUUUUUCUGAUGCCAGUUUGUAAGUUUUUUCUAGCAUACAACUGCGAUGAAAAGCAUGCUGACAAGGAAAUAAAACAAAUGGUUCGGAAAAAAGAGGUUGGUUGCAGUGCCAGCAUGAUUCAUUGGGCUCCAAAACAAUGUACCUAUUACGCAUAUUUUCAGCGUUAGUUUGUAUUUCAUGCGCAACUUCUGAUGCUUGUCCGAUUUCGAAGUCCAGCUGUUCAAUUCUUUUCAUGCAAUGAUCCAGUUCAUCACACACAUUAUCACUUAAAUCGUCCAGUUUUAUAUCUUCUGGCAAUAGGCGAAUAAGCUCGGGAAGUUGUAAAACCUCGGAAUUCUCUAAAAAUCUCAAGGUUUCUUUAAUUCCACUUUUUUUGGAAAACAUAUAUUUUGCAAUAGUCUGCCACAAAGUUUUUUUCAACACAACAUCUUCCUCUGGAAUAUUUGCUAUCGUAGCAGCUAAUUCACAAUCAUCUGCUUCUAAGGCUAAUUCCACUCCUUGGCUAUACAGCUUCAUAAGCACCAGAAUUUUUACUGCACUUCUCCGACAGUUAAAUUGCAAGCAUAAUCGAAUUCCUAAAUCCAUAUCGUACAAAGGAUGAUUUCCUUGCUGUUCAAUAUAAUUCAUUAAGUAAGACUCAUUAGAACUCGAAUGACAAGCGUAAAUGCAGAACAAUGUAUUAUGAAUAGAUGGAUCUACGCACCCCAAAACACCAGUAACGUAUCUAAGGUAUCUUAUGGCCGCAUUUUCCUCUACCGGUACGUGAGAACGCUGAUUAUAACUCAAGAGGGAUGGUAUCAAUGCAUGUACGUCCAAAUCUGUUUGACGUUCCCAAAUGCUGACAGUUUCAUUCGGUCGAUGAGUUAAAAGGGCAGUCGCAUGCUGAAUGAGGGUUUCUUGACUGACGCCUUCAUUUAAUGUCUCCAACGCUUUUUCAUAGUUCUCUCUUUGUACCCAAUAGUGCAUUAUGUAAGACUGGUCUUUCAUAACGGUAGCAAUUUGAAGUAACUGUUCUUCCUUACCAUAGUUAUUAGCAAGAUUAUAAGCUGCUUCACGAUUUAUCUCAUCUUUGUAUUGAUUAAGAAGAGUUGAAAACUCCCGUUGAACCUGUUGGCGCUGUUGCAUUACAUUUUCAGGAAAUAAUUCGAGACGCUCUUUUUCAUCAAGAGAAUUCAAUUUGGCCAGCAUUAACUCUAAAAGCCAGUUAACUAACAACGAUUUUUGAAUUUUCAUCUAAUAUAUUAUGUUAGAAAUUUAAAGUUUUUUGUAUUGGUGACUUACAGUGCUCUUAUAAGAUCGAAGCUUCUUCCACAAAUAUAGCC
rnacentral:lncRNA from 1 species